GACGGAGGAUGCAAGUGUUAUCCGGAAUUAUUGGGCGUAAAGCGUCUGUAGGUGGUUUAAAAAGUCUACGGUUAAAAAUUGAAGCUUAGCUUCAAAAGUGCCGUGGAAACUUUUAAACUUGAGUAUGGUAGGGGUAAAGGGAAUUUCCAGUGGAGCGGUGAAAUGCGUAGAUAUUGGAAAGACCACCGAUGGCGAAGGCACUUUACUGGGCCAUUACUGACACUAAGAGACGAAAGCUAGGGGAGCAAAUGGG
rnacentral:rRNA from 1 species